CAGAGAUGUAGCUUAGAUGGUAGAGUGCUCGCUUAGCAUGCAAGAGGUACGGGGAUCGAUACCCCACAUCUUCAAC
rnacentral:tRNA from 1 species